rnacentral:rRNA from 1 species
GACGAACGCUGGCGGCGUGCCUAAUACAUGCAAGUCGAACGCAGUGGGGACGGGUGAGUAACACGUGGGUAACCUCCCAUCAGAGGGGAUAACACUUGGAAACAGGUGCUAAACCGAUACUGAUGGAUGGACCCGCGGUGCAUUAGCUAGUUGGUGGGGUAACGGCUCACCAAGGCCACGAUGCAUAGCCGGCCGGGGAGGGUGAUCGGACACACGGGAACUGGUAAACGGCCCAGAUGCCUACGGGAGGCAGCAGUAGGUAAUUGUGGGGAUAGGGCGAAAGCCUGAACGUACAAGGCGGCGUGAGUGGAGAAGGUUUUGGGAUCGUAAGUCUCGUUGGUUGGCGAAGCGGUAUCGAACCAUAAAGCAACGGCUAAAUACGUGCCAGUAGCGGCGGUAAUAC